rnacentral:rRNA from 1 species
GACGAACGCUGGCGGCGUGCUUAACACAUGCAAGUCGAACGGAAAGGCCCUGCUUUUGUGGGGUGCUCGAGUGGCGAACGGGUGAGUAACACGUGAGUAACCUGCCCUUGACUUUGGGAUAACUUCAGGAAACUGGGGCUAAUACCGGAUAGGAGCUCCUGCUGCAUGGUGGGGGUUGGAAAGUUUCGGCGGUUGGGGAUGAACUCGCGGCUUAUCAGCUUGUUGGUGGGGUAGUGGCUUACCAAGGCUUUGACGGGUAGCCGGCCUGAGAGGGUGACCGGCCACAUUGGGACUGAGAUACGGCCCAGACUCCUACGGGAGGCAGCAGUGGGGAAUAGUGCACAAUGGGCGGAAGCCUGAUGCAGCAACGCCGCGUGCGGGAUGACGGCCUUCGGGUUGUAAACCGCUUUCGCCUGUGACGAAGCGUGAGUGACGGUAAUGGGUAAAGAAGCACCGGCUAACUACGU